rnacentral:lncRNA from 1 species
UAUGAAAGAAUUACAAGAAAAUACACUUGACUUCACACCAUAACAAAAAAUGGCCAUGUUUUUAAGUUUUACCCGACCUAGCCCACAUUGUAAAUAUUUUGAAACCACUAGCAAAUUCAAAAUCUGUGUUCUUACAUCCAUUACUUCUAAAAUCUAUGGAGUUAAAUCUGUGUUCCCACAACUAUUGCUUUCGCUCUCUCUUCUUCUCACAUAUUCUACACAUGCUUCAAGGGACCGUGUAUUUUCUUCUUCUCCUCUUAUGUCACCUGGUUGCAAUGUAAAAAAAAUUGAAGAGUAGAAGUCCACCAUAGAAGACCAUUCAAAGCUUUGCUUUCGAAAAUGUUUUUUUUUUAAUUUGUUAAUUGUUUGGAUUGGGUGUUGUUCCAAUUGAUUAGAAAUAUCAAAAUGAGUUCAAAAUUUAAAUUUGAAGUGAUUUGGAGUAGAUUUGAGUUAAAUUUCAGAAAAAAUGCAAGGAAGAAGACGAAGUCAGUUUUUUGUAUAUUAUGUAUAAUCUUGUAUAAUAUUGUAUAUGAGUGUAGNNNNNNNNNNNNNNNNNNNNNNNNNNNNNNNNNNNNNNNNNNNNNNNNNNNNNNNNNNNNNNNNNNNNNNNNNNNNNNNNNNNNNNNNNNNNNNNNNNNNNNNNNNNNNNNNNNNNNNNNNNNNNNNNNNNNNNGACUUCAAAUUUUAUAUACAACCUCCUUAUACUAUUUCUAACAAGUCUAAAUAACACCCACUCCAAAUUUCUCACAAAAUCAAACUCGGAAUUUAAAUCCACAUAUUUAAGCUUGUGAAAAAUCUAAUUUUCACCACCCAAAUGAAUUUGGUUUGUUGAACUAAUAUUUGAGUCACAGUUACUGAUUCAAAAAUUAAUUUAAAAGCUUGAGGAAUCUUUUUUAAAAACUAAAUAGUAAUUUUAAGAACCUAUUGGAGUUGGAUGUUGAAUCUUAGCCUAUUAUUUUUGGGUUAGUUGGUUGUAAAAUGAAAUAUAGGCUAUAAAAUUGAAAAGUAGGGAGACCAGUUGUUCUAAUGUGAAAUUUCCCCCCUAAUUAUUGGCUAGUUUUGGAGCAUUUUGCAUCGAUUUGAGUCUUCGGAAGAGCGUGUAAUGCCGGUUAUGGAACUUCGGAGCGAGGUGAGUCUCCUUUCUAACCUUGUAAGAGGGAAUUAACCCCAUAGGUGAACCAAAUUAAUAUGUGCCUCUAUUUUUGGGGGCUACGUACGCACGAGGUGAGGAGAGUCCAUACGUAGAUAUUAGCUAUGCCUAUGUCCGGGUAGUUUUAGGUUUACACCAUGCCUUGUUGAUAUUUUUGUUGAUUUAUGUUUAUUGAUUGCCUUGAGAAGAAGCGAGAUUGAGUUUACUUAGUAAAUCUCUUGAAAAGAGUUGGAAUUGAGGAAUUUGAGAUCUUAAAAGUUAUUAUUUGAACUUCAUAUUUUUGAAAUGAAUUGAAGGAAUAUUAUAAUAGCUUAAGAAAUCUAUGUGUAACCUCGUCGCAUGUAUAUAUCGCGAGCGGGGUAAUUUCCUUAAAACGCUACAAGCUGUAUUUCCCUUAUUUUGAAAAGAAUCAAGAAAGAGAAAUGAUUUUAAUGUUAAAUUUAUAUUUGACCGCGUCGCAAGUAUGAUCCGCGAGCGGGAUGAUUCCUUAAAUUUAUAUUUUACCACAUCACACGUAUGAUUCGUGAGCGGGGUAUUUCCUCCUACUACUCUUAUGGGAUCAGGCCGUUUGCCUCGACAGGAUUUAUGUACCACACAAUCAUGGGAGCGGGUCGUUCGCCCCGGCAGUUUAAUAGAUGCAUCUAUGGUUUGUACCGUUCGACCCUCGGCAGUGCACAUUUUACUUUUAUGUUGGAUCGGGUCGUAUGCCUCGGCAUUUCCUAUAUAUAUAUAUAUAUAUACAUCAUUCUUAUGGGACUCGUGCUUAACAUUUGUCUAGCAGCCAGUGUAUCUGAGGAUUUUUCUCUGAUUUGAAAUUGUAACAACUAUUUUAUGAAAGCCACUAUACCUUUAUGUAUAUGUUCCGGUUACGGAGGGAACAUGCUAGUUGAGAGCUUGAGUAUAGUCGUAAAGAAGGAAAUUGUUACACGUAUUUUAUACAUGUUUGUUUAAUAUGUUUACUCUACUUCAUAUUUAUUCACUUCUUUACUGUAUUUGAUGUCAUUGGACCACUAGUAAGUGUCGAAGUCGACCUCUCGUCACUACCUCUUCGAUGUUAGGCGGGAUACUUAUUGGGUACACGAUGUUUUUGUGCUCAUGCUACACUUGCUGUGCAUUUUUGUUGCACAUGAACAUAUUUGUCUUGUGGCUUAGUUCGGCGCAUCGGCAUGGUUGAUACAGAGACUGGGGUGAGUUGCAUUUCUCGAGACGGUCGACAGCUAACAGAGUCUCCUUCAGAGUAGUGUAUUGUAUUUCCUUUACUGUCCAAUUUGUAUUUUGGAUGGUUAGUAUAUUACAUUAUUCCCUAGAAAUUGCUCAUGCAUUUGUGACACCAGAUUCUGGAAUGACUAAGGGAUUACUUAGUAUUUAGGUUUGUUAAAGACAUCAUUAUUUAUUCAGCGGAAUCUUUAUUAGUUGUUUAGUGUUUAAAAAGGAAUGAUUUUAAAAUAGUAAAAUGAGAAAUUUCUAUUUAUUUGUUGUUGGCUUGCCUGAAAGCAGUGUUCGGCGCCAUCACGAUCCUUAGUAGAUUUUGGGUCGUGACAACAUGGUAUCAGAGAACUAGGUUCCCUUAGAUCUCACAAGUCAUGAGCGAGUCUAGUAGAGUCUUACGGAUUGAUACAGAGACGUCUAUACUUAUCUUCGAGAGGCUACAAGGCUGUUAGGAGCACUUCCCUUCUUGAUUCCUCAUCGUGCAGUUUGAUUCCUUUGAGGCUUAUGCCUUUACUUCUUUCCUACUCAAUCUACGCGACACGAAGCACUUAUUAUAAAUUGAGAAUUGAGGAAUUUUAAUGGUACUAUAGAUGUGGUGCAUGAUGUUUACUCCUGCGAGUUUGACUGGGCAGCGAAGGAUGAGAAAGGGCAUGUGGGAAGUGUCUUGUGGUGAUUAAACUUCUAGAAGUCCAAGUGUGGGAAACAUGAGUCGAGUAGUUGCUUAAAGGAGUGAGUUUGACCAAAGUGGGAGAGUGGCAGAAUAACAUAUAGGUUUAGUGGCAGGGUAACUACAUACCUUGAGGGAAAGUCAGAGUGAUUUGGGAAUUUUAAUGGAUGGUGAUUAGGUCCACAGGCUUAAUUUGAAUUAUUGGCUAUUAUAAGGCGGGAGAUUGGAUGCAACAGAAUGGGGGUUGCUUGAUACGAAUAAGGAUGCAAUAUAACUUUGAAUUGGAUGAUAUUGUCGCAUAUUUGGUUGAUGUCCAUAAGAAGUGAGCGGACUAGGUCAGUUGGUGAAUGAGCAGGGGCUCAGGGUAGGUUAUUAAGGUCGUAGUGAUUGUACCUCGUGCAGCAACGUUGGAAGAUGUCGGCAUGUAAUUUCCACAUGUGGGUUAUCUCCUGUGAGUAGAUCAGCAGUUGUGUGGUUGGCAAAGCUUCUAUGAAGAAUCCUACUGGCUAUCUAGCAAGAAGUUGAAUAUGUGAAUGUCGUGAAAGAGUUCAGAGUGUUCAUAAAAUGCUAACGGAAUGAUUUUGAGGAAUUUGGCGGUUGAUCGCACAAGGUUAUGUCAAUAAGAGAUAAAGAAUCUUGGUGGGCCCCAGAGUUUUGUAAUAGUAGCUUCAAGCUAAGUGGGAUAGUCCCACUACCUACGAUUGGGUUGCGCAGUUAACUACUUGUGAGGUUUCUGGAUAUCGGCAAAAAGGCGAGCUAUUUCAGCUAAGGGAAAAGAAUAUAAAUGGUAAUUUGAGCAAAUGGUUUGAGAGAUGUGUGCCAUAUAUGGCCUUAUCAAUUAUGUUUAGUCUUGGGGAAGGUUCAGGAUUUAUGUUUCGUAUAGAUGCAGGUGCUUCAUUGAGAGGGUGUUCAUGUGCUAGAAGAGUUUUGGAGUUGAUUAUAUUCAGGACCAAGUCAGAGUGGGUGACUCUUAAUAACGGUCCUAGUGGAUUCAGAGGUUAAGGCAUGGUGCCUAAGUAUUUCGAGUCCAUAAGUAUGGUUAAGAAUUGACCUUUGCAGCGGAUUAUGAAAAGAGGCUCGGAAGGUUCUAUGAUAUCUUCGGAUUGUAGUAUAGCUUUUGGAAGAAUGAAAGGGAAUGCCUUCGGAUUCACAAAGGGAUUUUCAGAAUGGGUAUAUUAGAUGAAGAUGCGAAUAUGCGCACAAGGAGGGCAUGAGACAGUUUGUGGGAUUUGAGAUAGCAUAGUCACGUGAUACAAGGCCAAUCGGAAGGAGUGCAGAUUGAGAUCGUUAUGUAUUGAAUGGAGUUAUUAUUGUUUCUGAGGCAAUUAAGGAUAAAUUAGAAGAAGUUAUAUUGGUUAGCCAUAGUUGAAUUGGCAUAUUAGUGGGAGUGGUUAGUUCCUCCAGCGUGAUUGAGUUACGCCGGUGAUUUGUGAUGAUACGUGCGAGGCUUGACAACUGCCACAAUUGAUUUUAUUCGGAAGUAUUCUAGUGUUAUGUCCCUAUUAUGUGUAGGCGGAUCCUGGAAGAGCUAUGGUGGCUUAGACCAUUACUUAGAGAUUUGCAUAUUCUACGGUUAUGAGAAUUCACUUGUGUGUGGCUAUAGUUCUCCUGAAAUGAGUUAAGUGAAACGUUUCUAUAGGAUGAAGUAUUAAUCUAUUAGUGGUUCCGGAGUUAUGAUGAAAAUCUUGUGCUAUCACAUAUUGGCAUGUUGGGAGCAGUGAGUGGUAUGGAAUUUAAAAGUGAGGAUCAAGUUUGCGGUUCGAUGUUGACAAGGAUGUCACGAGCUCGGAUGAGCAGGAAAGGGGUUUGAAUGUUUAGAGUAAGUUGGCAUUGUCUUCGACGUUGUCACACCUCCUUUUUACCACCCUGAAAGGGAGUAUAAGGGUUUUUUUUUCAAUUUAAGUGACAAUCGAAACUGGAUUAUUUAUUAAAAUCAGAGUCACCACUUGGGAUAAUUUAUGGUGUCUCAAGUCACCGGCUUAAAAUCCCGAAUCGAGGAAGUUUGACUCUAAUUACGGUCUGCGAAUACAGAAAUCCAGGUAAGGAAUUCUGUUAACCCGGGAGAAGGUGUUAGGUAUUCCCGAGUUCUGUGGUUUUAGCACGGUCGCUUUAAUCAUACUUGGCUUAAUUCAAUUGUCUAAUUACUUAUUUUAGAACCUAUGUGCAUCCACCCCUUAACCGCUUUUAAUUGAUUGAUUUACUUGUAAUUAUAGAAUUAUCUAAAAAAAAAUGAGUCACGCAUACGCGUACUCAUUUCAUUUGGUGCAUAAAAACUCGUGUCACGCGUACGUGUCCACAAUUAAUCAUGCUUUAUUGUUAUUACGAAAGUUUGGGCCAAAGUUGCGCGAACGCAUACCCCGGUUUUGUUUUUUGAACUGUAAUUAUAUCACGCGAACGUGUACACAAUCACGAUGAUUCAAUUAAUCUAUAUUAAGACAAGAACGCGAAUUAAAUCCCAAUUCUACUUUACUUCGUCUAAAAUCCAAGUCCAAAUUUUCAAGUGAUUCACACUAAGGAAAUCCAAAUAAGCAACUAGAUUUGAUUCCACUCUCAUCUGAAGUAUCCAGAGGUUUACCUAGACCACUCCAUGAACAACAUAGAACAAGGGCCGUGUGUUCUUUCAAAGUGCUUACCAUUUUAGCGUUUGAUACUGACCAAGUAUGAACAAAACCAUCAACAGAACCAGCAACAACAAGCUUGCAUUUUUCUUGAGAAUAACAAAGAGUGAUCAAUCAUAACAAUGAACGUGGGGGAAAUGAUAUUCUUUGUGUCGUUGAUUAUUUUCCUAAGCCUAAGAUUAUAUGAAUCAACUAUCCCAUUCUAUGUUACAAGCUACCAACGAAGGACCAAAACAGAAUGAUUUACUACGAAAUAUACUUCACAAAUUGUAAGUAUUAUACUGGCUCAAGUUUAAGUUUCUUUCACUUAACCAAGUUAAAUGAAUUAUAUGCUAAAAUCCAACAAUAACCUUGAAAGCCAAAUAAAAAGAAUAUAAACAUAAUAUAAGUAACAACCAAACGUAUACAUUGAUAAUCUCAAAUAGAUGAAUUCAUUGCUUAAAAAUUGAUUGAUUGAAUUUUAAGAAAAGACAAGAGUAAAAUCUGACCUCAAAUCUGAAAUCCAAUAAGAAAAUUGAAACAAUUUCGAGCAAAGAACUGUGACCAAGACUCAACAAAGGACCUCGAAUCUCCAUUGAUGACUGAAGUUGACAACUACUGCUGCCAGAAUAUCAUAUUCAAUCCCAAAAUCAGUACAAAUCGAAGACGGCGCCAGCAACCUUGAUGAACCUCGAGCAACAAUCGAUGAGAUAUCACCAAAAAUAAAAACCGACGAACAAAAGAUUGACUGAAGGGCUGAACUUCGUGAAACUGUUAUUUGGUGGUUAUUUCAGGUGCGUUCAUGGUGUUCAACAACAAUUGAUUGCUGGCUGGAAUUGGAAGAGGUCGUCACCGGCGAGAUGAUGAAGAAGAAAGGGGUCAGCGGCAGCGAUGGUUGGUGUUCUUGGUUGGGAGUGGAAAUGGCUGAAGCAGCUGGAUUUUUAUUCAAGAGAGAUCCCCUUUUCCGUUUUUGUACUCUUGGUCCUUUUUAAGAAGAAGAAGGGUUCUGUAGAAGAUGAUCUCAAACGGUUGGUCUCUAAGGGUCUAGGGGUCUACGAUUUUUUAGGUUAAUUUUUUUUGGCUCCUCCCCCAUUUUAGGUCUAGGGUCCUUUUAUAGGUCUAAGUCUAGGGUUUUAGGGGUAUUGGGCUUGGGUUGUUAUGGGCUAGGUCCGAAAAUUAGGCAUAAAAUGGGUUGUUUGAGCCCAAAAUUUAUUCUUUCUCUGUGAAUGACACUAAAAUACGACCUUAUUUA